GGAUGUGAGGGCAAUCUGGCUGCAACAUCUGUCACACCGUUGACCGCCAGGGUUCAUUUGGUUGAUCUGGCUGGCUAGGAGGGUAUCCCCUUCCUCCCUCACCACUCCAUGUGCGUCCCUCCUGAAGCUGUGCACUCAGUCACAGAGGACAGCCUUCCGUGAAUAGAGACGGACUGAUUUUAGGUCAAGGGUAUGCGAAUAGCUGUGCUCCCCUGCUAGAACCUCCAAACAAGCUCUCAAGAAGGAAGGGAGGGAAGAAUGAAGGAAGGGAAGGAAGGAAGG
rnacentral:snRNA from 1 species